rnacentral:misc_RNA from 1 species
UCCGGUUUGGCACCGGCAGUCUCCUCAGAGUUCCCGGCAUGACCCGCUGGCAACUGAGGACAAGGGUUGCGCUCGUUGCGCCACUUAAGGCAACACCUCACGGCACGAGCUGACGACAGCCAUGCACCACCUGUGCAGGCUCCGUAGAGCUCCGGCUUUCACCGGCUUCACCCUGCAUGUCAAGCCCUGGUAAGGUGGGGAUGACGUGAGCCUAU